CAGUAGCCACGGUAAUACGUAGGUCCCGAGCGUUGCCCGGAUUUAUUGGGCGUAAAGGGAGCGCAGGCGGUUUAGUAAGUCUGAAGUUAAAGGCAUUGGCUCAACCAAUGUAUGCUUUGGAAACUGUUAGACUUGAGUGCAGAAGGGGAGAGUGGAAUUCCAUGUGUAGCGGUGAAAUGCGUAGAUAUAUGGAGGAACACCGGUGGCGAAAGCGGCUCUCUGGCUUGUAACUGACGCUGAGGCUCGAAAGCGUGGGGAGCAAACAGGAUUAGAGACCCCCGUAGUCCCUGUCUCUUAUACA
rnacentral:rRNA from 1 species